rnacentral:lncRNA from 1 species
CCUACAACAAUUUUUCUUUUCACUCAAAUCAAAUAACUUCGCAUCAAUAUAAUAAUAAAGCAAAGGCAGAAGAGAUAAGGUAGUAAAAAGCAAGAUUAAAACUUUUUUAUAUCUGUAAUAUAAAAUAAUUCAAGACAAAGCAAAUACAUAUAGGUGUAAGGGAUGCAUGCCUAGCAGCAGCAAAACAAGACAUUUCCAUAAAUGCCCAAAUCUUUGAUAAAUAUUCCAAACCGAAACCGUAAACUAGCAAAGCUCUCCAUGAAGCUACUUGGUAUGCGUCUCUUACAUUCCCAUCUUUUAUCUGAUUAAAUAACAGCAAAGCAAACCAAGGACAAUUAAGUAAAAACAGAACCAAUCUAAGGUUAAAAAGGUAAAUUCGGACCGUUAUCCUCCAUUCCCCACAGUGCAAUAAUGCUCUCCUAGCUUUGCACUUAGGGAGAGCAAAAUUGCAAAGCCUUUCGUUUGUUUUUGGCUUUCUGACUUAUUUACAUUUCUACCUUCCUCCGCCUCCGCUGCGGCCGCCACCACCAUACUCCUUGUCCUCCUCCUCCACCAAAGGAGCAGCAAUCAAUCAUAGUGCUAUCAAGAAAAGGAAAAUUAUCAAAUAGCAAAGGAAAAAUGAGUUUUAAGAGAAAAUUUGGCCAAAGUUAGCUAGGCAAACAAGAAAGUGAGACCAUAGGAAAGAAAAGUGAAUGUCGGUAUGGGAGGAUGAGGCAUUAUGAGUCCCUUAUAAAGGCAAGAGUGUAGCUUUUUGCUUGAAUAUGAAACCCUUAUGAUUACAAAGCUCUCUCUCUCUCUCACUCACUCACUCACACUGAGAGAGAGAGAGAGGCUAGUCCAGUGUUCAAAUUGCAGUCUAAGCUGAUUAAGGGCAUGUUUGCGGGGAAAGUAGAAAACUCCACUAGCUCGAUUUCCAAGACUCUUGAAAUUUUCAUAUUAUUGCCAUAAACGAGAAGAAAAGCGGGACUUUGUGUGGGUAUUGGUUUGUCUAUGAAUGUGAACAAAC